rnacentral:tRNA from 1 species
GGUUAUAGCUCAGUGGUAUAGAGCGCUUGCCUCACACGUGUGAGAGACCCUGGGUUUGAUCCUCAGUAUCA